AGAGUUUGAUCAUGGCUCAGGAUGAACGCUAGCGGCAGGCCUAACACAUGCAAGUCGAGGGGCAGCGAGUGUAGCAAUACAUGUCGGCGACCGGCGCACGGGUGAGUAACGCGUAUGCAACCUACCUUUAACUGGGGAAUAGCUCGAAGAAAUUCGGAUUAAUACCCCAUAACAUUACACAAGGGCAUCUUUGUGUAAUUAAAGCUCCGGCGGUUAUUGAUGGGCAUGCGUGCCAUUAGCUAGUUGGUAAGGUAAAGGCUUACCAAGGCUACGAUGGCUCGGGGGUCUGAGAGGAUGAUCCCCCACACUGGAACUGAGACACGGUCCAGACUCCUACGGGAGGCAGCAGUGAGGAAUAUUGGUCAAUGGGGGCAACCCUGAACCAGCCAUGCCGCGUGAAGGAUGAAGGCCUUAUGGGUUGUAAACUUCUUUUGUAUGAGGCGAACUGUUUCUAUGCGUAGAGACUUGACAGUACCAUACGAAUAAGCAUCGGCUAACUCCGUGCCAGCAGCCGCGGUAAUACGGAGGAUGCAAGCGUUAUCCGGAUUCACUGGGUUUAAAGGGUGAGUAGGCGGACUGAUAAGUCAGUGGUGAAAGACUGUAGCUUAACUAUAGAAAUGCCAUUGAUACUGUCAGCCUUGAGUACAGUUGAGGCAGGCGGAAUGUGCAGUAGCGGUGAAAUGCUUAGAUAUUGCACAGAACACCAAUUGCGAAGGCAGCUUGCUAAGCUGUUACUGACGCUGAGUCACGAAAGCGUGGGGAUCAAACAGGAUUAGAUACCCUAGUAGUCC
rnacentral:rRNA from 1 species